rnacentral:lncRNA from 1 species
AUUUGUGACGAAUUGAAAGGGGAUUGUAGGCGAAAGAAAAUUUGGCAAAGCGCCGAACAUCACAAUCAAAUACAAACCAACUUUCAAGCACGAAAUCCGUACUAUGAUACCAUUUUAAAAUUUAAUGUAUAGGGCUAAGGAAUGACAAGGCACCCUACAGAGUACCUGCAGGUUUUUCAGAGCCAUCGUAUAUAAAGCUCUCCCCUAUUUGCAUCCAGCCCUUACAUGAUAUAGAAGAAAGUAAUAAGAAGAUGGUUAAGAAGAUAGAAGAACUAAACCUAGAUUAUAUAAUCGGAUAUGGCUUUUCUACAUUUUUUCGGCUGUGCUUCCCAAACCCUAGAUACAUACAUAGAUGGAGAUGAACUUCUUGCCAUUUAUAGGCCCAGCAAACAAUGGUUUUGACCAAAUUAUUUUCACCGUCUUUCUAUCCUAAUUUCUUAUUCCAUUUUAGAUGAUAUAUUCCCCUAAAAAUCACACUUUUCAGAAAAUACUUGUUGUAAACAAGAACAUAAACAAUCGAAAGAUAAUAAUAAGCAAACGAAAGAAGUGUAAUGGCAUUUGGAGGCGAAUUUGUGAUGAAUUGAAAGGGGAUUGUAGGCGAAAGGAAAUUUGGCAAAGCGCCGAACAUUACAAUCAAAUACAAACCAACUUUCAAGCACAAAAUUCGAACUAUGAUGAUACCAUUUUAAAAUUUAAUGUAUAGGACUAAGGAAUGACAAGGCACCCUACAGAGUACCUGCAGGUUUUUCAGAGACAUCGUAUAUAAAGCUCCCCUAUUUGCAUCCAGCCCUUACAUGAUAUAUAGAAGAAAGUAAUAAGAAGAAGGUUAAGGAGAUAGAAGAACUAAACCUAGAUUAUAUAAUCGGAUAUAGCUUUUCUACGUUUUUUCUGCAGCGCUUCCCAAACCCUAGAUACAUGCCUAGAUGGAGAUGGAGUUCUUACCAUUUAUAGGCCUACCAAACAAUGGUUUUGACCAAAUUAUUUCCACAGUCUUUCUACCCUAAUUUCUUACUUCAUUUUAGAUGAUAUAUUCCCCUGUUAUUGCAACAACAAAAAACACUUAUUUUUGUAUUUUAAGAUCAUUUUUUAAGAUCUUAAAAUACAAAAACCCGAUUACCGAAUUUUAUUGAUUAUAAUAUUUAUUAAUCAACUAGUUUCAAUCUGCUGAAUACCAACGGCCAUAUGGUUCUUUCAAUGUGCAUUUGUAAGCAUAGGCACCCCAUGCUAAGCCUUUUUCAUUACCAACACUAAAGUAUAAUUACAAAAUAUGAAAUCAUGAAUCAAAAAUUACUCUUCUCAAAAAAUACUUGUUGUAAACAAGGACAAAAAGAAUCAAAAGAUAAUAAUAAGCAAACGAAAGAAAUGUAAUGGCGUUUGGAGGCGAAUUUGUGACGAAUUGAAAGGGGAUUGUAGGCGAAAGAAAAUUUGGCAAAGCGCCGAACAUCACAAUCAAAUACAAACCAACUUUCAAGCACGAAAUCCGUACUAUGAUACCAUUUUAAAAUUUAAUGUAUAGGGCUAAGGAAUGACAAGGCACCCUACAGAAUACCUGCAGGUUUUUCAGAGCCAUCGUAUAUAAAGCUCUCCCCUAUUUGCAUCCAGCCCUUACAUGAUAUAGAAGAAAGUAAUAAGAAGAUGGUUAAGAAGAUAGAAGAACUAAACCUAGAUUAUAUAAUCGGAUAUGGCUUUUCUACAUUUUUUCGGCUGCGCUUCCCAAACCCUAGAUACAUACAUAGAUGGAGAUGAACUUCUUGCCAUUUAUAGGCCCAGCAAACAAUGGUUUUGACCAAAUUAUUUUCACAGUCUUUCUAUCCUAAUUUCUUACUCCAUUUUAGAUGAUAUAUUCCUCUUUUAUUGCAACAACAAUAAAACACUAAUUUUUGUAUUGUAAGAUCAUUUUUUAAGAUCUUAAAUUACAAAAACCCGAUUACCGAAUUUUACUGAUUAUAAUAUCCAUUCAUCAACUAGUUUCAAUCUGCUGAAUACCAACGGCCAUAUGGUUCUUUCAAUGUGCAUUUGUAAGCAUAGGCACCCUAUGCUAAGCCUUUUUCAUUACCAACACUAAAGUAUAAUUACAAAAUAUGAAACCAUGAAUCAAAAAUCACUCUUUUCAAAAAAUACUUGUUGUAAACAAGGACAUAAUUUAUUGAAAGAUAAUAAUAAGCAAACGAAAGAAAUGUAAUGGUGUUUGGAGGCGAAUUUAUGACGAAUUGAAAGGGGAUUGUAGGCGAAAGGAAAUUUGGCAAAGCGCCGAACAUCACAAUCAAAUACAAACCAACUUUCAAGCACGAAAUCCGUACUAUGAUACCAUCUUAAAAUUUAAUGUAUAGGGCUAAGGAAUGACAAGGCACCCUACAGAGUACCUGCAGGUUUUUCAGAGCCAUCAUAUAUAAAGUUCUCCCCUAUUUGCAUCCAGCCCUUGCAUCAUAUAGAAGAAAGUAAUAAGAAGAUGGUUAAGGAGAUAGAAGAACUAAACCUAGAUUAUAUUUUCAAAAGCUAAAAAUGCCAAAAUAAAUAGAAUAUGAGAAAUUAACUGGAUCAAACUCUACUUGAUUAACCAUUAGCUUCAUGGCAAUGUUAUGAAUAGCUAUCAGCGAGGUCUCCUUGAUGCUCACACACCAAUGAGAUAUUGAGAAUGGCAAGUCAAUCGCAAGAACUGCUACUCAGUGUAAAUAAUGUUAUAGAGUUUAGGAUAACAACCCUCCUGCGCCCCCAAUUUUCUUCCUCUUACGAUACUGAUAGCAUAGGAGGUAGGAUCCUGAUAAUUUUAUCAGUAUCUGAUGGUUAAUCCAUUCAUCAAUGUAAGAUAUCACUAUGAUAAGAGACGAUUAAUAAAGAUUCUUAAUAGAAAUUAAGAAUCCCUUGAGCCCG